GGUUCGAUUCCGGAGAGGGAGCCUGAGAAACGGCUACCACAUCCAAGGGGGGCAGCAGGCGCGCAAAUUACCCAAUCUAGACAGUAGGAGGUGGUGAAGAGAAUUACUAAGUGGUUUCCCUUUGGGUACCAACUUGGAAUGAACGUGAUUUAAGCAAUCCGAUGAGUAACAACUGGAGGGCAAGUCCUGGUGCCAGCAGCCGCGGUAAUUCCAGCUCCAGUAGCGUGACUUAAAGUUGCUGCGUUUAAAACGCUCGUAGUUGGAUCACGCAGUAGCAAUCAGUAAUCUGUGGCUGUGCAAUGCCUCAACCGACUCUGACCACUCGUGGAACGAUCGGAUAGGGUGUAUGGCCGCCGAUACUAAUGCUGAUUACUACUUCUUGCACGUGAGUGUGGAAUUUGUCCUUUAGUGCGACGAGUUUCAUGUCUUACGGAGUGUGCCUUGAAUAAAACAGAGUGCUUAAAGCAGGCGAACGCUUGAAUGUUAUAGCAUGGAACGAAUAAACGUGUUUUUGUGCAUACCAAGUGACGGCGUUACGCAAGUUGUGCCGUUGCAGGUGUGUGCAGCACCCACCUUAAUACGUAUGUUGGUUUUCGUAUACGGUGAUGAUUAAAAGGAGCGGUUGGGGGCAUAGGUAUUUGGCCGCGAGAGGUGAAAUUCUUGGACCGGCCAAGGACUAACAGAUGCGAAGGCGUUUGUCUAGACCGUUUCCAUUAAUCAAGAACGAAAGUGGGAGGUUCGAAGACGAUCAGAUACCGUCCUAGUUCCCACCAUAAACUAUGCCGACCUGGGAUCAGUUUAGUGUAAUACAAGCUCUAGGUUGGUCCCCCUGGGAAACCUCAAGUUUUUCGGUUACGGGGAGAGUAUGGUCGCAAGUCUGAAAUUUAAAGGAAUUGACGGAAGGGCACCACCAGGGGUGGAGCCUGCGGCUUAAAUUGACUCAACACGGGGAAACUUACCUGGUCCGGACAUCGAAAGGAUAAACAGAUUAAUAGCUCUUUUUUGAUGCGAUGAGUGGUGGUGCAUGGCCGUUCUUAGUUCGUGGAGUGAUCUGUCAGGUUUAUUCCGGUAACGAACGAGACCACUGUCUCCAUUUAGGAUGCGAAAGUAGAACCGGGUUACACCGUUUCGGCGGUGGCUAUCUGGUUUGUAGGUAAAGUUGCAGAAUUUACUUGUGAGCAUUGGGUGGGUAACCAUCUGGUGUAAGCUUGGAAAGGAUGUGACUCUCCCAUUCGCAAUGUAGUAAUAGGUAAUACCUGCUAUUACCCUAUGGAGAGACAACAGGUACUUUAAGCCUGAGGAAGUGUGGCUAUAACAGGUCAGUGAUGCCCUUCGAUGUUCAGGGCUGCACGCGCGCUACAAUGAUAACAGCAGCAAGUGUCUGAGUCGAGAGACUUGGGUAAUCUACAAUUGUUAUCGUGAUGGGAAUUGACCGUUGUAAAUCGGUCAUGAAAGAGGAAUCCCUAGUACAUGUGAUUUAAUAAAUCGCAUGGAUUACGUCCCUGCCCUUUGUACACACCGCCCGUCGCUACUACCGAGUGAAUUAUAUCAUGAUGCCCUGGGACUGGACGUUAAACGGGUGUCAAAGCCUGUUGAUGCUAG
rnacentral:rRNA from 1 species